rnacentral:rRNA from 1 species
UACGGGGGGAGCAAGCGUUGUUCGGAUUUACUGGGCGUAAAGGGCGCGUAGGCGGCGUGACAAGUCACUUGUGAAAUCUCCGGGCUUAACUCGGAGCGGUCAAGUGAUACUGUCGUGCUAGAGUGCGGAAGGGGCUACUGGAAUUCUCGGUGUAGCGGUGAAAUGCGUAGAUAUCGAGAGGAACACCUGCGGCGAAGGCGGGUAGCUGGGCCGACACUGACGCUGAGACGCGAAGGCGUGGGGAGCGAACGGG